GUUUAGCAGCUGCCAAGGGUAAAGAAUGGUUUAAGUCAUUUCCUAUAAGCUCUUCACACAAAAGAACAGGAAUAAAUUGGAUUGAAUCUAUUUGACUCAGCACUAUCUUGUGACUUUAUGAUCUGUUGCAGUUUUCAACUGAACUAUCUGCUUACCAGUGUUCAACUCCAUUUGAUCUUUGGGAGGUGUCUCAUUUUUAUUUAGUAGAUGUAUGGGGGUUGGAGAAGAUAUUAUGUAUCUCUACACUUUGCAGGUCUCGGUUCAAGAGAAACUGUAUUUAAGAAACUGAACCUAAGAAAACAUACAGAGUUUCAGUUGAAGAACACUUGAAGGUCUGAACACAAAGAGGCAUAUCUGCACAUAGAACUGAUUUAGAUAACAAGAUCCUGAACUUCGAACAAAAGAUGUGAUGGAAUAAGACUUUGUGGAGGGGCCUUGGAGCAACUGAGUUUAUUUUGCAUUUGGAAGGAAUAUAAAUAAUUUGUAGCCAGCGGGCAGACUCCAGCAUAUUAAAAUGGCCAAAAUAUUUUUGCUACUUCUCCCAUUGAGAGGUAGAGUUUAAUUUUUAUCUCUAUGGAUCUGGCUGUUUCUGCUACUAAUUUACAAAAGAAACACUAUAGAUGUGACACUGUCAGUUUCCUGGACCAGGCUUUAAAGAUCUGGCAUCUUCCAUGUACUGUCUCUGGGACUGCUAGCUCAAAGUUCAAAAACUUCCACAAAAGAAGGCCAACUAUCCUGAGACCACUGUAUUGAAGAGGCCAUGCGUAAGAACUCAGACCAACAGUCCAAGCUGUGCUUUGCCUUCUAGCAUUCCCUGCCAAAGCACAUGGGGUGUGAGGGGAGCCAAACUGGCCUCUCUGUGACAGUCCAACAGCCAAAUCAAUUGCAACAAGUGACCUCAGUUAAUGACACAUGCAGCCAAAAAAUGGCCGCCUGAGACAUGCUCACAAUUUCCGAUUUUAAAAAGCAAAAAACCAUGAGAUAUAGUAACAUGUUCGUUGUUGUAACACACUACAUUUUGGAAUGAUUUGUUAAGCAAAAUUAGAUAACAAGAACAUAAGGAUGAGAAAGGUCUCCAUUUCUGUUUAUAUGAAGACAGGCAGCUGAGAAGCAUGCAAGAUAAUAUUUGACAAGUUCUUUCUCAGUCCAUAUUAUUCUGGUACUUAAAAAAAAUUAUAUACUGGAAAUCCUAAAUCACUUGGAGAUACUGACUGUAGUAUGUAGUGUAUUCAAAUUACAGUCUAUUUUUAAACAAUAGGAAAAAUGCAAGAACAAUACUAUCAAUUAAAGUUGAUGUCAAGAUAUAAUUGUAAAAAGAAAAGCUUGUAAUAUAGUACACUGGUUCACCCAGAAUUAUAUAUAUUAAUUAAUAGUUAGCCUUCUUGGAAUAAGUUAAAGCAAGUAAUGAUGGACAUCAAAACUCUAUUUUGUACUAUUUAUUAGAUAAACCAUAUGUCCACUUUUGAAAUGCAAUUUUCUUUUACUUUUCAGGGAUUGCUUAGCUUAUAAUACUUAUUUAAGAGUAGAACAAAUAAUUCUAUCUGAACUUUUGAAAAAGUAGAUAAAAACAUACUGUAUCCCAGCUGGGCGUGGUGGCUCACGCCUGUAAUCCCAGCACUUCCAGAGGCCGAGGCAGGUGGAUCACGAGGUCAGGAGAUCAAGACCAUCCUGGCUAACAUGGUGAAACCCUAUCUCUACUAAAAAAUACAAAAAAUUAGCCGGGCGUGGUGGUGGGCGCCUGUAGUACCAGCUACUUGGGAGGCUGAGGCAGGAGAAUGGCGUGAACCCGGGAGGCGGAGCUUGCAGUGAGCCAAGAUCAUGCCACUGCACUCCAGCCUGGGCAACAGAGUAAGACUCCGUCUCAAAAAAAAAAAAAAAAAGUGUAUCCCUUAGUAAGCUUAUUUUACAACCUUAGUAAUAUUCAAUGCCUAAAUAUCUAAAACUACCUUAAUAACUUUUUAAUGUAUAUUUGCAAUAUAUGAAUGUAAAGUGUAAUGAAUAAAAUACAGUAAUUACAAUAAAAAAUGCAUUUCCCAUUAUCAGAACUCUUUUCAAAGUGCUCUUCUAAAAGAAUAACAUGUAUUUAAUAGAUAUGGCAGAAAGCUAGAAGUAAUCAGUAAAACCGAGAAUAAAAAAUGUAGUGAGGGACACUGGAAUACAAGUUUAGAAAGUGUCACUUUGCAAAGUUACUUUCUUGAAUAAUCCUCUUUCCUACCACCCUGUCACAAAAGACAACCUAUGAAAUCAACAAAAAUGUGAUGAAAUAUAAUCGACUUGAUUUUAUGUAUGGUCUUAAUGAAAUUUUGAUAUAGUUUAGGCAGAUUUUUAUCUCAGGUUUUUUGUUUUGUUUUGUUUUGUUUUUCUGUUGUUGAGACAGGGUCUAGAUCUUUUGCCCACGCUGGAAUACACUGUAUCAUCAAAUACCUUCCACCUCAGCCUCCUGAGUAGCUAGGACUAUAGGUGUACACUGCCACACAGGCUAAUUUUAUUUAUUUUUAUUUUUGGUAGAGCUGAGCUCUUGAUAUGUUGUCCAGGCUGCUCUUGAACUCCUAGCUGCAAACAGUCCUCCCACCUCGGCCUCCUAAAGUGCUGGGAUUACAGGCAUGAACCACUACACCCUGGCCUAGAUAAUUUGUUUGAAAAAAAAAAAAAGAAAGAAACACAAAAAUUCUUCUAAGGAAGCAUAUUAAAAAUAGGUUUUUCUGUUUCUUCUUUGAAAUAAAAUAAAUCUAAAAUAAUAGGCUGAUGUGCCCUUACCACAAACAGAAGUAACUAUUUGUCGGUGUGAAAUAUUAUUUCCCUGCAAUGAGUACACCACUGAGUUCAGAUGUAUUUAUUAGUCUAUAACUGGAGAUAAAAAUAUAACCUGAUGUCACAAUAAUUUCUGCAGGCUUUUGAGGCACGUUCUUAUUCUCCUUCCAUUGUACCAUCCUAAAUUAACUCUGGUGAGAAGCUUCACUUCCACUCUUCAUUCUAUACUGAGGAGCCAUGGGUCUUGACAAUGAAAUAAAUAACAUGAAAUACAUCUGUUUUCCUUUCUGUUAGAUAAAAGAAACCCAAGAGAACACUGUAACCUGAAAAUAAUCAACUGAUGAGUAAAUGACAGUCUUCAGCAUUUCUAGUACACUCAGUCUGGCAAAACUGUGGCCUAUACCCUUAAGUUAUAUAUUUAUAACAGGCAGAUAAACACCAUCUUUAUUUACAGAACUCUUAGGGAACUAUAUGAAGCAAGCUAAAAAUAUUUAAAAGAAUAUGUAGGACUUUUUUAAAAUAUAUUUUUAUAUUUUUGAUUAGUCUAUCAUUAAUGCCAAUACAGUCAAACCUAAAGAGCAUGCUCCCUUAGCCCUCAUACCAAGAUUUGGGGAAGACAUUUUUGUCUUCAGUCUGAUGAAAAUUUCAGGUAGUUUCUUUUGUAUAGGAAAAAUGUUCACCAGAAUAUUUUAGGAUCAGCCAUUUGAAAGAGAUUUCCUCAUCAGUUUAGGUGGAAGAAGUCCCUGAAGUUUAUCAUUGUUAAGAAGUUAAGGGUGAAAUUGUUGGUGGGAAGGUAAAUUAGUACAGCCAUAAUGAAAAUUUUUUGAAAACAAAAAAUAAAAAAUAUAACUAUUGCAUGAUUCAGCAAUCCCAUUGCUGGGUAUAUAUCCAAAGGAGAUGAAAUCAGUAUGUUAGAGAUAUCUGCACUUCCAUGUUCAAAGAGCAUUAUUCACAAUAGCCAAGAUAUGAAAUCAACUUUAAUGUUCAUCAACAGUUAAAUGGAUAAAGAAGAUAUAGUAUAUUUGCACAAUGGAAUGCUAUUCAUUCAUAAAACAGAAGAAAAUCAUCUCAUUUGCAACAAUGUGGAUAAACUGGAAAGACAUUAUGUUAAGUCAAACAAAGUAGACACAGAAAGACAAAUACUGCAUGAUUUCACUUCAAUGCAAAGUGUAAAAAAUUUGAACUGCGGUGGCUCACGCCUGUAAUCCCAGCACUUUGGGAGGUCGAGGCGGGCAGAUCAUGAGGUCAGGAGUUCAAGACCAGCCUGGCCAAUAUGGUGAAACCCCAUCUCUACUAAAAAUACAAAAAAUAGCCGGGUGUGGUGGCACGCACCUGUAGUCGCAGCUACUUGGGUGGCAGAGGCAGAAGAAUCACUUGAACCCGGGAGGUGGAGGUUGCAGUGAGCCGAGAUCGCACCACCGCACUCCAACCUGGGCGACAAGAGUAAGACUCUGUCUCAAAAAAAACAAAAUUUGAACUGAUAGAAGUAGAUAGUAGAAUGCUCAUUACCAGGGGCUUGUGGAGGGAGGAGACUGGGAAAAUGUUGGGACAAAUAUGUUCAAGAAAGCUAUCGUCCAACAUGAUGACUAUAGUUAAUAACAAUGAUUAUAAUCUUGAAAAUUGCUAAAAAGAAUACGUAGGAUGUUUUAAAAAUAUUUUUUUAUAUUUUUGACUAGUCUAUCAUUAAUGCCAAUACAGUCAAAGCUAAGGAGCUUCAUUCCCUUAGCCCUCACAGAUUGACAUAUUUUUACCACAAACAUAAGCAAGUGAGAUUAUAAAUAUGUUAAUUAGCUCAAUUUAGUCAUUUCAUAAUGUAUACAUAUUUCAAAACAACAGCCUGUACAUGGUAAAUACAUACAAUAUUUACUGGUCAAUUAAAAUAAUAAAUUUCAAAAAUAAGUAAAACAUGAAGAAUUUGAUCAUUAAUUACAAUAUUUGUAAAUAAACCUGGAUGAAUAGAUGUCUCUCUUUUCUCUCUUACUUUUUCUAAAUAUUUGUACAGAGUUCUUAGCUGUCUCCCAUUCCCCUUUAUCUCACCAGAGAAAGUGAUCCUCUUUACAGUGACCGAAGCUAUUAAUCGUAAUGUAACGCAGAGCAAAGACAUACAGAAGGUCAGAGGGGCAAGGGACUUAAUUUAAGGCAAUAUCUCUUUCAGCUUUGUCACUCAACCCAUGAAUAUACUGAGGUCCAUAAGAAUUAAGUUCAUUUUUCAGUCCAAAUAGCUCGAUUCCUGAGCAUCUCCACUACUUUUGUUUAAAAAAAGGUCAUGGGGGCAGCAGACAAACAAACCAGAAGCAAAACAGAAAAACCAUACAUAAAACAAAACAGAACCAAACAAAAAAAAUGCCUUUUUGUAGCGCUGGUGUUAGCUGUUUUCUGACUCUGAAUUCUUAAAGCAGUUAAUUUCACCUUCCAUUAUAUUAUUACACAUUAUUUCUAUAAUUCUGGUGUUAUUAAUAUUUUCCUCAAUAGUUUAUAUAACGUAUUCACUGAAUGCAUGCUAUGUGAAGGCAUUGCACUGAAAAGCUAGGAAAUUGUUUGUGGCUUAAAAAAAGGGAUGAACUCCAUUAUGAAACAUAUAAAUUUAAGCAUAUUAAUAAUAGUAAAAAUGAUAAGCAUGCAUACAGAAAUACGCAAAAUAUGCUAUGAAAAUGGUUGUUUUCAGUAAAA
rnacentral:tRNA from 10 species